CCGGGCAGGGCCACGCCGGCGGGACGCGGUGCAGGGAUUUAAACGCCCGCCGGGAGCGAGACCGGGGGGAGUGCCGAGAGCGUCCUCCCCCGAGAGCAGCCGACGGAUGGGCCCCAAGCCGAGGAGAUUUCUUACAGCAUUCCAAUACAUCUCUAGAGAAACAAAGGCAUAUGUCGUCAUUUGAAAUUUGCUGCCAUGUUAAAUAGCUAUGGAGCAUAAAGAAGCCACACAACUGAUAACAUGAAAAUAUGGAAACUUGAAAUUAUCUGCUUUCUUUCUGUUUUAUACUAGUCUAUUGAAGCAUUCUGGCUCAGUUACCUACAGCAUUGUGUUUUUGAUCUUAAGCAUAGGUUAAAUCAUUUGUGAUCACACCUGGACACUAGAAGAGGACUGGCUGCCAGGAAAAUCAUGUGUGUGGAACCAGAAGGCAAAAGAGUUGAUGGUGCUGAGUUACAAAACUAAGAAAGUCCUGAACAGAUACUAAACUAAGGCUCUCUAUUAGAGCUAUGGCUAUUCUAUUCUGAAGAAAGAAUGUGCAUUGAUAAAUAUUGUCAUAGAAACUCACGAUCUAUUUUGCAAGAUACCCUACAGAAAAAUGAAUGUGUAAUUAUCUAGUGUCAGAUAUAAUUUAUCAGAUUAGCACUGAUAUUCCUGGGGAAAUUAUGCCAAAAGUACUGCCAUUUUCAUGGUUCCAUGAUUUUCUAAGCAUUAAAUUCAAGAUACACUGUUGCAGACCACCAAGGCUGCCAGUUGUUUUGGGAGACCACUGAGUUUUGUAGAAGCCAAUAUGUUAGUAAACCAAGGCCACUGGCAGGGGUAUGAGUGACAAAAAGGGUGCUGAACGAUUUACAUUGCUGCUGGUGUCCCAUGCAACAUGCUCAAGGGGCAGUACUAGGAGCUUGCGGGGGGGAAGCGUGGCAUGGUCCAGACAGCAGAGAGCACUGGCUGCUCCUAACCUGCCCCUUCUGCCUAAGCCCACCACCACAUUGCCCAGAGUCUUGAGAAGUCUGUCAUCAGCCCUGUGCUAAACAUAAAGGGUAAUUUUAAAAUUGUGAGUAGUGUCCAGUAGAGUUUUAUAUGUGAGUGGUUUUGUUUUGGGGAUUGUUUUUAUUUGUUGGUGUGACAAAGAAACCAGCCAAUCUCUUGAGAACAUUCUUAGAAGGGAUAUAUCUCAUAUCUUGUUUUAUAUCAAACACUCUCACAAGACAAAUCACCCCUCCCAUGGAAAACAUAUUGGGAAAUGACCUGAGGAAGGAAAAUCUCAUGAGGUCUUUCUUGUGGAGUUUUUAGUAGGUCAUUCCAUCUUUUGCUUCACACAGAGGAGGCAGAAGUUCAAUCCUGAGCUCUGCUACAGCCUUCCUGUCAUGUCCACCUCUACGAGGGGCAACACCCAUGCAUACAGAGGACCUGUAGAUACCUAUUUCCUUGUGACUUACUAAAGACCCAUCCCUCACCACAUUCCCUCUAUAAUCACACUACAAACCAUCCCAACAGUGGUCUCCCCUCACCACUGGAUGCAUUUUGUGUAACACAGAGCAUACCAAUAGUAUAAUUUUACAUUUACUUUGCAGUGGCAUAAAUCCCUAUACAAAAGUACAAGGCAGAGGGAAAUUGAGACCAGAGAUUUUACCUGAGAGCAUAGAUGCUCGAUCUAAGAGGUGCUGGAGGUACUGUAGUUCCUUUAUUUAUAGGGGUUAUAGUUUGGUUCAAUGGCUCUCAGCACCCCCACUGGACAAACUACUCCGGCCCCACUGCAUUAAAGGGAAAGGGCAGCCUUACUGCAAGGGUUUAAGUGUCAGUGUAGACAGUAAAGCAUGGCUUAGGAGAGUAGAAGACACCUGAAUGGUGUGGGUAUGUAUCCAACUGCAUACCCUACCUAUCUCUCUCUACUCACCCAAACGGUAUCUCCCCAGUUACAGUGCUAUUUUUGGUAGAGUAGCCUCUAGGGAUGUAAAAUCCCAUUUAAUAGGUUAACUAUUUACAUGUGAUGUUUAAACUGGUUAAUCAAUUAAAGGGGAAGCAAGCUGGGGGGGCCACUGCAGUCCCUGCCUGUGUGCUCAUCCCACUCCAUAGGCCUGGGCCGCUCCAGAUAGCUGGACACAGGUUGCUUUUCACUGCAGUAUGUACCCAAUAUGCCACCAAAAGUCAUGUGUAGCACAGACACAGUGGCUGUGUCUAGACUGCAUCCUUUUUCCGUAAAAGGGACGCA